AUGUCCCAGUCUUUCAAGAGAAGGUUCUCACAGAGAUCUUCAACCUGCCCUGCAACUGCCAGCACAACUGGUCUGCCGCCAAAGGCUGAGUCUGCUGCUCCAUCUCGACUGGGCAGGAAGUUGAUGCUCAGUUCUACUUCUGGUGGCAGAGAUCACGAGUCCCAAGUGCAAGAGAAAAGUAGCAAGGAUGUUGCACUCAGGUUUGGUGUUACAGAAGGGACUCCUGCCAAGUUUGCCUCUACACCAGUGAGAUCAAUGGCAGGCACACCGAACCUUGUGACCCCACAGAGGCCAAUAUCUGCUACUGUGUGUGACACGCCACCUCUAAAAACGGUCAAGCGAUCAGCUAGAGCCAAGUUGUUCAUGAUACCUACAAAGGUUGCAAGCAGAAUGGAAGAAGAGAACCAGAUUGUGAGCACAUCUCCAAGCGAUGGCGAUGAUGAGCUCGGUUUCCUUCCAAAGUCUCUCUUGCAAUCGGUAAAGGAGAAGGAGAAGAGAACUUUAGAGGAGAAGGAAACAGGCUAUGCAGAUCAGGUUCAGCGGCAGAAGCUCAUAUCAUGUCUGCCAAGCACCUUUGACAUCACCUUCCUUUGUUGGAGCCAGGAACACCUACAAGCUCUAGAUCACGGCAACAAUGCUAGCUAA
rnacentral:rRNA from 1 species